UGUAAAACAUACAAAUAACAUCCGCCAGGGUACUACAGGCGCUAGCUUAAAACCCAAAGGACUUGACGGUGUCUCAGACCCGCCUAGAGGAGCCUGUUCUAGAACCGAUAAUCCCCGUUAAACCUCACCAUCCCUUGUUUUCCCCGCCUAUAUACCGCCGUCGCAAGCUUACCCUGUGAAGGAUCUACAGUAAGCGAAAUGGGUAGACCCCAGAACGUCAGGUCGAGGUGUAGCUCACGGGAUGGAAAGAAAUGGGCUACAUUUUCUAAAACAGAAUAUCACGAACGGUACCAUGAAACUGGUGCCCAAAGGUGGAUUUAGUAGUAAAAAACAAACAGAGCGUGUUUUU
rnacentral:rRNA from 1 species